UUUGAUCACAGAGUCAGGAAAA
rnacentral:piRNA from 1 species